AAUACCGCAUAACCAUAGUUACCGCAUGGUAACUAUGUAAAAGGUGGCUAUGCUACCGCUUUUGGAUGGGCCCGCGGCGCAUUAGCUAGUUGGUGGGGUAAAGGCUUACCAAGGCAAUGAUGCGUAGCCGAACUGAGAGGUUGAUCGGCCACAUUGGGACUGAGACACGGCCCAAACUCCUACGGGAGGCAGCAGUAGGGAAUCUUCCACAAUGGGCGAAAGCCUGAUGGAGCAACGCCGCGUGGGUGAAGAAGGUCUUCGGAUCGUAAAACCCUGUUGUUAGAGAAGAAAGUGCGUGAGAGUAACUGUUCACGUUUCGACGGUAUCUAACCAGAAAGCCACGGCUAACUACGUGCCAGCAGCCGCGGUAAUACGUAGGUGGCAAGCGUUAUCCGGAUUUAUUGGGCGUAAAGGGAACGCAGGCGGUCUUUUAAGUCUGAUGUGAAAGCCUUCGGCUUAACCGGAGUAGUGCAUUGGAAACUGGGAGACUUGAGUGCAGAAGAGGAGAGUGGAACUCCAUGUGUAGCGGUGAAAUGCGUAGAUAUAUGGAAGAACACCAGUGGCGAAAGCGGCUCUCUGGUCUGUAACUGACGCUGAGGUUCGAAAGCGUGGGUAGCAAACAGGAUUAGAUACCCUGGUAGUCC
rnacentral:rRNA from 1 species